UACGUAGGAUCCAAGCGUUAUCCGGAAUCAUUGGGUUUAAAGGGUCCGUAGGCGGUCUAGUAAGUCAGUGGUGAAAGCCCAUCGCUCAACGGUGGAACGGCCAUUGAUACUGCUGGACUUGAAUUAUUGGGAAGCAACUAGAAUAUGUAGUGUAGCGGUGAAAUGCUUAGAGAUUACAUGGAAUACCAAUUGCGAAGGCAGGUUGCUGCCAAUUGAUUGACGCUGAUGGACGAAAGCGUGGGUAGCGAACAGG
rnacentral:rRNA from 1 species